GGGCGGGGCCCGAGGGUGACCCGCCGCGGGGGGACGCUCCUCGCGCUCCGACGGCCGGCUCCCGCGGCCUCCACCGGGUCAGGACGCAGGGGCGGGGUCGGAUUGUUCUGGCCAAAGAGAAUGGAUAUUCAGCAUCAGCAAGUAAUGCUAAAAGAGAGGGGUCCCAGGAAACAGAGGCUGAGGAGACCGUGCAGGAGGUUUACAGCGGAGGGCUCUUCAGAACAGCACUUGUGAGCAAACGAGGAGCAGGACGGGGCAGAGAGAGGAGCUGAAGGAACUCACAGUUGCAGCAGAGGCCUCGGUUAAUCCUAAAGUGAAGUAUGGAAGCUGGAUGACCCUUCAGAAUUGCCCUGAAUUGAGGCAAGGAGGCUGUACCUUUGUAUUUCAGCACUGACCAAUCACUGGGUCCAGGACGCCACUGGAGAGGGAGCCUAACCUUGGGCAACGGGAAAUUCCUGGGAGGAAUCCAACCAGAAGCCGUCACCAGUCAGCGCUCCAGGCAGCUGGUGGAGACGCACCAGUGUCUCAUUCCUGGAGGAGGGGUCCGGGCAGUGUAUUACAUAUCACAGAAGAUAUGUGAUGCAUCGCUAUUUAACAGAAAAGAGAACUAAAAGAAAGCUUUCUUCAUAUGCAUAUUUCCUUCUUUGUAUAUCUGUAUUAUACAAGACAGUCUGUCUCAUCCUCAUCAUCUCUAAGAAGAGUAUCCAAAUCAUUUACACAUCAGGUGAACAAUGGCAGGCAUAAAAUAAUGGACACUCCGUGGCCUCCUUUGGUUCUGGCCCAUUAGUACGUUGGGCAAUCCAUUUUAAUGAGUUGUGGGCACCUUUCCAAACACCCCAAGUGGGAGAUGAAGAGACAGCGUCCAGGGGAACAGGACCUGUUCUGGUGCAGAGGACCCAGGGCGGUGAGAUGGUGUUGGCGCACAUCAGUGGGGUCACAUCAAGCAAACCUGGAGCAUCCCUGGUCUACCCCAUGCCCUCCCGGAAUGUGUCACUGCGGCU